GACGAACGCUAGCGGCGUGCUUAACACAUGCAAGUCGAACGGGCCUUGUCCCCUUUUUUUUUGGGGGUGGGGUUAGUGGCGAACAGGUGCGUAACACGUCAGUAACCUGCCCCUCACUUCUGGCUAACCGCUUGUAAGGGUGGCUAAUACGGGGUGUUCUGGCCUGCUCGCAUGGGUGGGUUUGGUAAGUUUCUACCGGUGUUGGAUGUUUUGGUGGGGGCUGGGCUCGCGGCCUCUCAGCGUGUUGGUGGGGUGAUGGCCUGCCAAGGCUUUGACGGGUAGCCGGCCUGGGAGGGUGUGCGGGCACGCUGGGACUGAGACACGGCCCAGACUCCGACGGGAGGCAGCAGUGGGGAAUAUUGCACGAUGGGCGCAAGGCGGAUGCAGCGACGCCGCGUGAGGGAUGGAGGCCUUCGGGUUGUGAACCUCUUUCGCCAGUGAAGAAGGUCCUGCUCUUUGUGGUGGGGUUGACGGUAGCUGGGUUAAUGAAGCGCCGGCUAACUACGUG
rnacentral:rRNA from 1 species